GACGAACCGUGCGAACGUUGUUCGGAUUCACUGGGCUUAAAGGGCGCGUAGGCGGGCUGUCAAGUCUGGGGUGAAAUCCCACGGCUCAACCGUGGAACUGCCUCAGAUACUGACGGCCUCGAGGGAGAUAGGGGCGAGCGGAACUGUGAGUGGAGCGGUGAAAUGCGUUGAUAUUCACAGGAACUCCGGUGGCGAAGGCGGCUCGCUGGAUCUCUUCUGACGCUGAGGCACGAAGGCCAGGGGAGCAAACGGG
rnacentral:rRNA from 1 species